CCUGAGGAAGAAGUCCUGGCUAACUACGUGCCAGCAGCCGCGGUAAUACGUAGGGGGCGAGCGUUGUCCGGAGUUACUGGGCGUAAAGCGUCCGCAGGCGGUCUUUGCCGUUCAAAGUGACAGUCGUCGGCUCAACUGACGGAGGGCUGGGAAGACGCAAAGACUUGAGGGCUCAAGAGGGACACGGAAUUCCGGGUGGAGUGGUGAAAUGCGUAGAUAUCCGGAGGAACACCAGAGGCGUAGGCAGUGUCCUGGGGAGCUCCUGACGCUCAGGGACGAAAGCCAGGGGAGCGAACGGGAUUAGAUACCCCGGUAGUCCUGGCCGUAAACGAUGACCACCAGGCGUGGGAGGUAUCGACCCCUUCCGUGCCGCAGCUAACGCACUAAGUGGUCCGCCUGGGGAGUACGGUCGCAAGAUUAAAACUCAAAGGAAUUGACG
rnacentral:rRNA from 1 species